GGGGAAUAUUGCACAAUGGGGGAAACCCUGAUGCAGCGACGCCGCGUGGAGGAAGAAGGUCUUCGGAUUGUAAACUCCUGUUGUUGGGGAAGAUAAUGACGGUACCCAACAAGGAAGUGACGGCUAACUACGUGCCAGCAGCCGCGGUAAAACGUAGGUCACAAGCGUUGUCCGGAAUUACUGGGUGUAAAGGGAGCGCAGGCGGGAAGACAAGUUGGAAGUGAAAUCCAUGGGCUUAACCCAUGAACUGCUUUCAAAACUGUUUUUCUUGAGUAGUGCAGAGGUAGGCGGAAUUCCCGGUGUAGCGGUGGAAUGCGUAGAUAUCGGGAGGAACACCAGUGGCGAAGGCGGCCUACUGGGCACCAACUGACGCUGAGGCUCGAAAGUGUGGGUAGCAAACAGGAUUAGAUACCCUGGUAGUCCACACCGUAAACGAUGAUUACUAGGUGUUGGAGGAUUGACCCCUUCAGUGCCGCAGUUAACACAAUAAGUAAUCCACCUGGGGAGUACGACCGCAAGGUUGAAACUCAAAGGAAUUGACGGGGGCCCGCACAAGCAGUGGAGUAUGUGGUUUAAUUCGACGCAACGCGAAGAACCUUACCAAGUCUUGACAUCCGUUGACCGCUGUAGAAAUACAGUUUUCCUUCGGGACAGCGAGACAGGUGGUGCAUGGUUGUCGUCAGCUCGUGUCGUGAGAUGUUGGGUUAAGUCCCGCAACGAGCGCAACCCUUAUGGUCAGUUACUACGCAAGAGGACUCUGGCCAGACUGCCGUUGACAAAACGGAGGAAGGUGGGGAUGACGUCAAAUCAUCAUGCCCUUUAUGACUUGGGCUACACACGUACUACAAUGGCGUUAAACAAAGAGAAGCAAGACCGCGAGGUGGAGCAAAACUCAGAAACAACGUCCCAGUUCGGACUGCAGGCUGCAACUCGCCUGCACGAAGUCGGAAUUGCUAGUAAUCGUGGAUCAGCAUGCCACGGUGAAUACGUUCCCG
rnacentral:rRNA from 1 species